rnacentral:rRNA from 1 species
CUGACGUUAGCGGCGGACGGGUGAGUAACACGUGGGUAACCUACCUAUAAGACUGGGAUAACUCCGGGAAACCGGGGCUAAUACCGGAUAACACAUGAAACCGCAUGGUUUCAUGAUGAAAGACGGUUUUGCUGUCACUUAUAGAUGGACCCGCGGCGUAUUAGCUAGUUGGUAAGGUAACGGCUUACCAAGGCAACGAUACGUAGCCGACCUGAGAGGGUGAUCGGCCACACUGGAACUGAGACACGGUCCAGACUCCUACGGGAGGCAGCAGUU